rnacentral:tRNA from 1 species
AGCGGGAUGGAGAAGUCUGGAGUUCUCGUCGGGCCCAUAACCCGAAGGUCGGUGGUUCAAAUCCACCUCCCGCUA